rnacentral:rRNA from 1 species
CCUACGGGAGGCUGCAGUGAGGAAUAUUGGUCAAUGGCCGGAAGGCUGAACCAGCCAAGCCGCGUGAAGGACGACUGUCCCAUGCAUUGUAAACUUCUUUUGUCAGGGAACAAAAUGAGCCACGAGUGCCUGUCCGUGGGUACCUUAAGAAAAAGCAUCGGCUAACUCCGUGCCAGCAGCCGCGGUAAUACGGAGGAUGCGAGCGUUAUCCGGAUUUAUUGGGGUUAAAGGGUGCGUAGGCGGACUGUUAAGUCAGGCGGGAAAGUCCGGGGCCCAACCCUCGCGCUGCAGUUGAAACUGGGUGCCUUGAGUGGGCGAGAGUUAGGCGGAAUGCGUGGUGUAGCGGUGAAAUGCAUAGAUAUCACGAAGAACGCCGAUUGCGAAGGCAGCAUACCGGCGCCCAACUGACGCUGAGGCACGAAAGUGUGGGUAUCGAACAGGAUUAGAUACCCUAGUAGUC